GUUCUAUCCAGAAAGCAGUGUUCCUUAGAAAGAACCUCAGAGUCCAGAGAGAACCCGGACAAUACAACACAGCAGGAUGUCGACCCACAAUAUGACAACCCUUCAACUGUGAUGAAGAGAGCACCAGCAGAGCAGCAGGACGACCUUAACUACAGCAGUGUUUGUUUCUUUAAGAAGCAGGAAGAUCCCCUCUACUCCAACAUUAUGCUAGCUCGGCCCAACAAACCAAAGGAGGAAGAGGAGGAGGAAGAUGUGGAGUACACUGCUGUCAACUUUAACAAUGGCAGUCCAGGACGGAGUCGUCAGGAAGCUGUGGAGAACCCGUCAGCAGUGUACAGCACAGUCAACAAAAACCACAGACUAUGAACACAAAUCUAUGUCCCUCUUCCAACCCUACAUGUCUGACGUUUCCAUGACAACGUUACAGGAACACAUCCAAGAGGUUAAACAAGCUGUUUGUUUGGGCAACAUACAAUAAUACUUGUAUGUGUUCAUCCUUUCAGGAACUCAUGACAUCACUUAUCUUGCAGCAGGCACCAGUUUUAUAAUAUACACUUUCUGUCCAAAAACAACCCAUCACCACCUGGAUUUAACUAAACAAAUAUGUAAGAGCCUUCCACUGGAUAAUUACUGCAGUGAUGAAGAUGUUUCAGCUGCAACAACUUAUUUAACCCUAGCUGAUGCAGUGAGGAGCUUCUCAUUUCUUAACCUUCCUGUCGUCCUUCGGGUCAAAUUGACCCGUUUUAAAGGUUUAAAAAUGUGGGGGAAAAAACAUAUAUA